UUGCAUUGAAGCACAUGGCCUCCUAGCACACAGACAGAGAGGAGAAAGGGCCCUUCUGCUCACACCCAGCCCACACCACAGGAGCACCUAGACCAACUCUGGUAAAUACGGGAGGGGACUACACAAGGGUGUGAACACCAGGAGGCAGAGACCAUGGGGGCCAUCUUGGAGCCUGGCUACCGCGGAUGGGAUAUGAUCAGAUGGGAAAAUGUCUUGGAUAAGAGCCACCCUCCAUCUCCUGCCAAUACCCGUGCCAGGGCACCGUGUGAGAUGGGAGUAGAGAAAAACACCUGGAGAGUCCUGCCAAUACCCGUGCCAGGGCACCGUGUGAGCUGGGAGUAGAGAAGGUAAAAACGCCUGGAGAGUCCUGCCAAUACCCGUGCCAGGGCACCGUGUGAGCUGGGAGUAGAGAAGGUAAAAACACCUGGAGAGUCCUGCCAAUACCCGUGCCAGGGCACCGUGUGAGCUGGGAGUAGAGAAGGCCUGGCUGACAGCUGCGUGCAGUCAGAGGGGUCGCUGGCCCAUCACAGUCCAUCUUCCGGUAUCAUCUGCGGUGCUGACAGCCCACGUGAGAAGCUGACAUUGGGCCUUCUACUCUUAACAUCCCUGAGUCCAGACAGAAGUCCCCACACGAGUCUGCAGAUGCUGCUGCUGAGGGCACGGCUCCAAAGGCUCCCUCAUCCACCACCCCCCCACCCCGCGAGCUCCUUACCUUCGUCUUCUUUUUCUUCAUCCUCAAGACUCUCGAUGCAAUCUGGAUGGUGGACAGGGUCUCCGCGUAGCUCCCGACCGCGGCCGAGAUGUGCGCGAUCAUGGUGGUACGGCAGUUCAUGUUCCCCAGAGACUCCCGCAGCAACAUGGCGAGCUUGCUCUCUCUGCCAAACAAAGUGAAUUAGGCUGCAUUAGCGGCCAUGCUUCCCUGUGGCCCUCAGGGCAGGGCUUCAGGCCUGCACACGGCCAUUUUGUUGUGGGUGGUGGUCCCCCCACCCUUUUUAAUGGCAUACUAAUUAGCAUCAUUUUCCAGCAUGGGGCUAUUUGUAGUUGGCAAGCACCGAGCAAGUGCUUCUAACUCCAAGAUGGAAUCUGUGCAAAGCACCUCCCUUGGCGCUUCUGUCCUGGCUGUGAUGGGAUGUUCCUGGGCGUGUGUGUCUGUGACAUUAUACAUAAUGAGGCCUGGGAAUAGAAACAAGAGGAGGGGAUCAGGAGAAAGGGCUCUGUGCCUGGUGACUCGGCUUGCUGACUGCACGUGUGGCCUUUCUCCAGGGUUUCCACACACAGACAAUCUUGCAACAAAAAGGAGUCCCCCUGCCACGAACCUGGAUUAAAGAUCGGUGGGUUUUUAAUACCUGCACAGUUCCUUUAGCCAGGAAACUGCGGCUACUUUAUUGGCAUUGUCCCUUAACUCGCAUAUUUGCACCUAGUAGCACUGAAGGAAAAGGCAUUCAUAUUCCUGAAGACUAGGGGAGAAACACAGAGAGAGGCCCAGCCAGUCACUCUAUCCACAACAGAAAGCAGCACUUCCUAUAGAGAGGCCUCCUCUGGCAACUGUGCAGGUGCUGUGCGGGGCCACUGCCCUGAGUGGUGAUAAUGAGGCCCUGGGGUUUGCAGGGAGUGUUGCUACGUCUUUGAAUAGACCUGGAGAAAUGGCUGGUUUUCUGUUCCUGUACUCGUCCCAGCAUUUUUCCUGCCUUGCUUUUAAAGGCCUCUGUUUAUUUCAUCAACAGCACUCAUACUCUCAACUGCUGCCAAAUGUCAUUGCAUCUCUGGCACGUUCCCUGAUCCUGAAGGGCUGAGGAAGCCUAUUUCCCAUGCCGCGUGCUCAUAUCUCCAUGCUGUGUCUGCGAUUCCAGAUGAGAGGAAUUCGUCCCCAUGUCCAUGUCUCAUCACCCAUCCCCUGCAAAGCUCCCUGGAGAGGGACUAUCCAGCUCAGCAGACACUAUGGGAGACUCAGGCCACUGUCAGCAGAGAGCAGACCAUUUUACACGUGACCUGCUUCUGGCCUCAGGGAGGGAAGACUGUGGGAAACCCACGGACAGCCGCACUCGACGAGGAAGCCAGGCCCCAUUCCUGGCACACAUUCUUAGCAGAGACGUUGCACCUGGAUGCGUCUUGGGCUCUGUCUUCAAUAUGCGCAGUGGAGGGUGAGUUCUGCUCAGUUAGGUUGUGAUCAUAUACAGUCAGGUCUUACAUGAGUAGUGGAGGGUGAGUUCUGCUCAGUUAGGUUGUGAUCAUAUACAGUCAGGUCUUACAUGAGUAGUGGAGGGUGAGUUCUGCUCAGUUAGGUUGUGAUCAUAUACAGUCAGGUCUUACAUGAGUAGUGGAGGGUGAGUUCUGCUCAGUUAGGUUGUGAUCAUAUACAGUCAGGUCUUACAUGAGUAGUGGAGGGUGAGUUCUGCUCAGUUAGGUUGUGAUCAUAUACAGUCAGGUCUUACAUGAGUAGUGGAGGGUGAGUUCUGCUCAGUUAGGUUGUGAUCAUAUACAGUCAGCUCUUGUUAUUCAUGGUAGCUGUGUUCUAUAAAAUAUUUGUGAACACUGAAUUUGUAAAUACUGGGCCAUUGUUCUUAGGGGAAAUACAGUUUGGUGCAAAAGUAAUUACGGUUUCUGUCAUUUCGAUGACUUUUUUUUUCUUUCUUUUUUUCCUAAG